GACGAACGCUGGCGGCGUGCUUAACACAUGCAAGUCGAACGAUGAAGCUGGAGCUUGCUCCGGUGGAUUAGUGGCGAACGGGUGAGUAACACGUGAGCAAUCUGCCCUUGACUCUGGGAUAACUGCGGGAAACUGUAGCUAAUACCGGAUACGAGGCUCGAAGGCAUCUUCGGGUCUGGAAAGAAUUUCGGUCAAGGAUGAGCUCGCGGCCUAUCAGCUUGUUGGUGAGGUGAUGGCUCACCAAGGCGACGACGGGUAGCCGGCCUGAGAGGGUGACCGGCCACACUGGGACUGAGACACGGCCCAGACUCCUACGGGAGGCAGCAGUGGGGAAUAUUGCACAAUGGGCGAAAGCCUGAUGCAGCAACGCCGCGUGAGGGAUGAAGGCCUUCGGGUUGUAAACCUCUUUUAGCGGGGGAGAAGCGAAAGUGACGGUACCUGCAGAAAAAGCACCGGCUAACUACGUGCCAGCCGCCGCGGUAA
rnacentral:rRNA from 1 species